rnacentral:rRNA from 1 species
GGUUAAGCGACUAAGCGUACACGGUGGAUGCCCUGGCAGUCAGAGGCGAUGAAGGACGUGCUAAUCUGCGAUAAGCGUCGGUAAGGUGAUAUGAACCGUUAUAACCGGCGAUUUCCGAAUGGGGAAACCCAGUGUGAUUCGUCACACUAUCAUUAACUGAAUCCAUAGGUUAAUGAGGCGAACCGGGGGAACUGAAACAUCUAAGUACCCCGAGGAAAAGAAAUCAACCGAGAUUCCCCCAGUAGCGGCGAGCGAACGGGGAGCAGCCCAGAGCCUGAAUCAGUGUGUGUGUUAGUGGAAGCGUCUGGAAAGGCGUGCGAUACAGGGUGACAGCCCCGUACACAAAAAUGCACAUACUGUGAGCUCGAUGAGUAGGGCGGGACACGUGGUAUCCUGUCUGAAUAUGGGGGGACCAUCCUCCAAGGCUAAAUACUCCUGACUGACCGAUAGUGAACCAGUACCGUGAGGGAAAGGCGAAAAGAACCCCGGCGAGGGGAGUGAAAAAGAACCUGAAACCGUGUACGUACAAGCAGUGGGAGCACGCUUAGGCGUGUGACUGCGUACCUUUUGUAUAAUGGGUCAGCGACUUAUAUUCUGUAGCAAGGUUAACCGAAUAGGGGAGCCGAAGGGAAACCGAGUCUUAACUGGGCGUUAAGUUGCAGGGUAUAGACCCGAAACCCGGUGAUCUAGCCAUGGGCAGGUUGAAGGUUGGGUAACACUAACUGGAGGACCGAACCGACUAAUGUUGAAAAAUUAGCGGAUGACUUGUGGCUGGGGGUGAAAGGCCAAUCAAACCGGGAGAUAGCUGGUUCUCCCCGAAAGCUAUUUAGGUAGCGCCUCGUGAAUUCAUCUCCGGGGGUAGAGCACUGUUUCGGCAAGGGGGUCAUCCCGACUUACCAACCCGAUGCAAACUGCGAAUACCGGAGAAUGUUAUCACGGGAGACACACGGCGGGUGCUAACGUCCGUCGUGAAGAGGGAAACAACCCAGACCGCCAGCUAAGGUCCCAAAGUCAUGGUUAAGUGGGAAACGAUGUGGGAAGGCCCAGACAGCCAGGAUGUUGGCUUAGAAGCAGCCAUCAUUUAAAGAAAGCGUAAUAGCUCACUGGUCGAGUCGGCCUGCGCGGAAGAUGUAACGGGGCUAAACCAUGCACCGAAGCUGCGGCAGCGACGCUUAUGCGUUGUUGGGUAGGGGAGCGUUCUGUAAGCCUGCGAAGGUGUGCUGUGAGGCAUGCUGGAGGUAUCAGAAGUGCGAAUGCUGACAUAAGUAACGAUAAAGCGGGUGAAAAGCCCGCUCGCCGGAAGACCAAGGGUUCCUGUCCAACGUUAAUCGGGGCAGGGUGAGUCGACCCCUAAGGCGAGGCCGAAAGGCGUAGUCGAUGGGAAACAGGUUAAUAUUCCUGUACUUGGUGUUACUGCGAAGGGGGGACGGAGAAGGCUAUGUUGGCCGGGCGACGGUUGUCCCGGUUUAAGCGUGUAGGCUGGUUUUCCAGGCAAAUCCGGAAAAUCAAGGCUGAGGCGUGAUGACGAGGCACUACGGUGCUGAAGCAACAAAUGCCCUGCUUCCAGGAAAAGCCUCUAAGCAUCAGGUAACAUCAAAUCGUACCCCAAACCGACACAGGUGGUCAGGUAGAGAAUACCAAGGCGCUUGAGAGAACUCGGGUGAAGGAACUAGGCAAAAUGGUGCCGUAACUUCGGGAGAAGGCACGCUGAUAUGUAGGUGAAGUCCCUCGCGGAUGGAGCUGAAAUCAGUCGAAGAUACCAGCUGGCUGCAACUGUUUAUUAAAAACACAGCACUGUGCAAACACGAAAGUGGACGUAUACGGUGUGACGCCUGCCCGGUGCCGGAAGGUUAAUUGAUGGGGUCAGCGCAAGCGAAGCUCUUGAUCGAAGCCCCGGUAAACGGCGGCCGUAACUAUAACGGUCCUAAGGUAGCGAAAUUCCUUGUCGGGUAAGUUCCGACCUGCACGAAUGGCGUAAUGAUGGCCAGGCUGUCUCCACCCGAGACUCAGUGAAAUUGAACUCGCUGUGAAGAUGCAGUGUACCCGCGGCAAGACGGAAAGACCCCGUGAACCUUUACUAUAGCUUGACACUGAACAUUGAGCCUUGAUGUGUAGGAUAGGUGGGAGGCUUUGAAGUGUGGACGCCAGUCUGCAUGGAGCCGACCUUGAAAUACCACCCUUUAAUGUUUGAUGUUCUAACGUUGACCCGUAAUCCGGGUUGCGGACAGUGUCUGGUGGGUAGUUUGACUGGGGCGGUCUCCUCCUAAAGAGUAACGGAGGAGCACGAAGGUUGGCUAAUCCUGGUCGGACAUCAGGAGGUUAGUGCAAUGGCAUAAGCCAGCUUGACUGCGAGCGUGACGGCGCGAGCAGGUGCGAAAGCAGGUCAUAGUGAUCCGGUGGUUCUGAAUGGAAGGGCCAUCGCUCAACGGAUAAAAGGUACUCCGGGGAUAACAGGCUGAUACCGCCCAAGAGUUCAUAUCGACGGCGGUGUUUGGCACCUCGAUGUCGGCUCAUCACAUCCUGGGGCUGAAGUAGGUCCCAAGGGUAUGGCUGUUCGCCAUUUAAAGUGGUACGCGAGCUGGGUUUAGAACGUCGUGAGACAGUUCGGUCCCUAUCUGCCGUGGGCGCUGGAGAACUGAGGGGGGCUGCUCCUAGUACGAGAGGACCGGAGUGGACGCAUCACUGGUGUUCGGGUUGUCAUGCCAAUGGCACUGCCCGGUAGCUAAAUGCGGAAGAGAUAAGUGCUGAAAGCAUCUAAGCACGAAACUUGCCCCGAGAUGAGUUCUCCCUGACUCCUUGAGAGUCCUGAAGGAACGUUGAAGACGACGACGUUGAUAGGCCGGGUGUGUAAGCGCAGCGAUGCGUUGAGCUAACCGGUACUAAUGAACCGUGAGGCUUAACCUU